rnacentral:rRNA from 1 species
ACGAACGCUGGCGGCGUGCUUAACACAUGCAAGUCGAACGGAAAGGCCCUGCUUUUGUGGGGUGCUCGAGUGGCGAACGGGUGAGUAACACGUGAGUAACCUGCCCUUGACUUUGGGAUAACUUCAGGAAACUGGGGCUAAUACCGGAUAGGAGCUCCUGCUGCAUGGUGGGGGUUGGAAAGUUUCGGCGGUUGGGGAUGGACUCGCGGCUUAUCAGCUUGUUGGUGGGGUAGUGGCUUACCAAGGCUUUGACGGGUAGCCGGCCUGAGAGGGUGACCGGCCACAUUGGGACUGAGAUACGGCCCAGACUCCUACGGGAGGCAGCAGUGGGGAAUAUUGCACAAUGGGCGGAAGCCUGAUGCAGCAACGCCGCGUGCGGAUGACGGCCUUCGGGUUGUAAACCGCUUUCGCCUGUGACGAAGCGUGAGUGACGGUAAUGGGUAAAGAAGCACCGGCUAACUACGUG